rnacentral:misc_RNA from 1 species
AAAGUCGUAACAAGGUUUCCGUAGGUGAACCUGCGGAAGGAUCAUUAGUGACUGGCCUCUGGCCUGAUUCAUAAUCCUGACACCUGUGUGAACCGUUGGCAUAACAAACUUUGUGUGUGAUUGAACGUGAAUGUAUCUUAAACAAUGACAAAACUUUCAACAACGGAUCUCUUGGCUCUC